CUGCUGCCUCCCGUAGGAGUCUGGGCCGUGUCUCAGUCCCAAUGUGGCCGGCCACCCUCUCAGGUCGGCUACUGAUCGUCGCCUUGGUGGGCUUUUAUCUCACCAACUAGCUAAUCAGACGCGGAUCCAUCCCAUACCACCGGAGUUUUUCACACAAGGCCAUGCAGCCUCGUGCGCUUAUGCGGUAUUAGCAGCCGUUUCCGGCUGUUAUCCCCCGGUAUGGGGCAGGUUAUCCACGCGUUACUCACCCG
rnacentral:rRNA from 1 species